AAACCAGCACCUCAAGUGGUCAGGAGGAUUAUUGGGCCUAAAGCAUCCGUAGCCUGUUCUAUAAGUUUUCGGUUAAAUCCACUAGCUCAACUAAUGGGCUGCCGAAAAUACUGUAGAACUAGGGAGUGGGAGAGGUAGACGGUAUUCGGUAGGAAGGGGUAAAAUCCUUUGAUCUAUUGAGGACCACCUGUGGCGAAGGCGGUCUACCAGAACACGUUCGACGGUGAGGGAUGAAAGCUGGGGGAGCAAACCGGAUUAGAAACCCCAGUAGUCC
rnacentral:rRNA from 1 species